GCAUGAAGUCGGAAUUGCUAGUAAUACGCGGAUCAGCAUGCCGCGGUGAAUACGUUCCCGGGCCUUGUACACACCGCCCGUCACACCAUGAGAGUUGGAGAUACCCGAAGCCUAUGAGCUAACUUUUAGAGGCAGUAGUCGAAGGUAGAAUCAAUGAUUGGGGUGAAGUCGUAACAAGGUAUC
rnacentral:rRNA from 1 species